rnacentral:tRNA from 1 species
GUGCGUAUAAUUUAAAAAAAUAUUAGACUGUGAUUCUAAAAAUGAAAGUUAAACUCUUUCUAUGCACC